rnacentral:rRNA from 1 species
UACGGGGGGGGCAAGCGUUGUUCGGAAUUACUGGGCGUAAAGGGCUCGUAGGUGGCCAACUAAGUCAGACGUGAAAUCCCUCAGCUUAACUGGGGAACUGCGUCUGAUACUGGAUGGCUUGAGUUCGGGAGAGGGGUGCGGAAUUCCAGGUGUAGCGGUGAAAUGCGUAGAUAUCUGGAGGAACACCGGUGGCGAAGGCGGCAUCCUGGACCGACACUGACACUGAGGAGCGAAAGCCAGGGGAGCAAACGGG